rnacentral:misc_RNA from 1 species
GAUUUCUCUCAGCUCUACGCCGGUGAAAUCGCCGCCAUGAAUCUCCGUAUCGUCGACAAAGAGGAGCAAGACAAUCGGUAUGACCUCUUCGACGUUCACUUCCACAGCGAUGUAAUCAAAACAACGGUAACUCCCGAUCCCGAUAUCAUCACCCAGUGGAUCUCCGAAACUGUAUCUUCUCACUCCGGCAAUCGCCGUCUCAUCGCCGGACUUGACGUUGAAUGGCGUCCUAACUUCAACCGUAACCAGCAAAACCCGGCCGCCGUUCUCCAGAUCUGCGUCGAUCGUCGUUGCCUCAUUAUCCAACUCCUCUACUGUCGAUCAAUCCCGGAGUCUCUGUUCAAUUUUCUCGGGAAUCGUGAGUAUGAUUUCGUCGGAAUUGGAAUUGAAAGCGAUGUGGAGAAAUUGUUGGAGGAUUAUGAGCUGAAUGUUAAGAAUAUGGUGGAUUUGAGAGGAAUUGCUGCUGAUGUAUAUGGUAUGAAGAAUUUGAAGAAUGCUGGGUUGAAGGAACUAUGCAAUGUCGUUCUGGAAAAGGAGAUUGUUAAGCCAAAAUCUGUUACUAUGGGUAGAUGGGAUAGUGAAUGGUUGAGUUUGAAUCAAAUCCAAUAUGCUUGUCUUGAUGUGUUUCUUCUGAAAUUGCUAAGCACUUGAAUGUAGGUGCUGCUUCUACUCGAAGAUAUUAGAAUCCGACUAUUUCAAAUUUACGUAGAAACAGUAUAGAUAUAGAAUUUGAUGGAUGAAGUUUUAUUUGAGAAUUUG